GUUAACUUGGGGUAAGUGAAACCACAGGACGUGAACUGCAGAUAAGGGGGGCUACUGUAUUGUGGCUAUGCAAGAGAACAUUGCGUAGGAAAUAUAUACUGAAGAAUUUGAGAGUAAGAAGCAAUUAUAUGUGUUAUUUAUUCUCAAAUGGUUCAGAAAAUCUACAUAUAUUUAUGUAUGUAUGUGUCUGUGUUUACAGAGGGAAAGAACAAUAAGCAAAUGAAGUAAAAUGUUGGCAGUAGCUCUGAUCUAAGCCUCCCAUUAUGGAGAAUCUUCAGAGGAGCACACGUCUUUGCUGGCUGGCAUAUCAACAUUCAUGAUCCUGGCAUGUGGAAGAAUACUCUGAUUAUUGCCCAAGACAUUAGCAUUAAAAAUUCCUUCUAAGGCAUUUCUUUAUUCUUAAGUAAAUCCUGUUAAGGAAAAAUAGGAAUGUAUAAGCGAUUAAUAAAUUAAGGUGAGUUACUUUCUAAUUUGACAGAAUUGGGAGCUUUUAGCAAAUAAGGACAUUGCCCAGAGAGGAAAAGCAGAUAAUUCAGAGUGCUCAGAAGCUAGAGUUGGCUUUUUAGGGGAACUAACUUAAGAGUAAAGAGACUCCUUUAUGUCUAUUUAUUGUUUAUGAAAUUGAUGUAGAUGUUACUUUAAUAAUUGACUUACAUAACAUUAUUGAUAUUUUUCUACCCUGAUUUUUCAAGUGAUCUGUGUUCUUUAUAUUUUGACUUCUCUAUAAUAUUUUGCACAAAUGAUAAUCAGAAAUCACAAUGUGCUAAGUCUAAAUGAACUUUAGAAAGAGAAUGACAAACAAUUUGAUUCAAGAUUAACAUUAUAAUUGACAUUCUUAAAAAAAUAUUUCAGCAUUACUACAUAAGGAUCAUGUUACUUUUGUAAUUUUUCUAUUGUUAUGUGAUAAAUCAAAGAGGUAAAGAAAAAUAAAGGAUACAAGACAAAUGAUUAGAGUUCAUUGUAAGCUGGGAAGAAAGCAAUUCUUGUUAACUAAGUCAAAUUGAAAGCGAAUACACCUAAGAAAGUGUAAAGAUCACUAUUACAUUUUGUCUAAUGGGUACAUCAAAUUAAUGCAAAUUACUCCUGCCCCCAAAAAGGGUUCAUAAAUGAGAAGUUUUCUAAGGCAAAAGUGUCAUUGUAGUGUAACUUUGAGUAGGUACAUGUCCCUAUCAGCUGAUCUUAUCUUCCAAGCCUACAAUUAUUAAUCCUCUGUGUGUAGUGCUUAAAAUGUGGUACUUCACAUAAGAGGGCUGUAAAGAAAGAACGAAGACUUGUAAAGUGCCAAAGGGAGAGGAUCUCAGGUCCAUUUGGUUGAUUAACAGUCGUUAUUACGAGGAAAAUUACAGGAAAGAAUCUGUAGCCCAGGACAGAGCUCUUAACUCCAGAUUGCAUGAUAUUGGGAAUAUAACCAGAGCAGAGUUCAGAUGAAAAGCCUGGCAGCGGUGACCAGUGGUAUUAAAACACAUAGUGAUCUAAUAAAUAGCCCUUCAUGUUGCUCAGUGGUUGGGGAAGGCUUCU
rnacentral:lncRNA from 10 species